AAAGAGGGAGGGGCUAGAUCUAGUUUCUCUAGACACUGAUGUGAUAUUGUUUUGUAGUCUAUUUCAAAAAGGAAUGUAGAAAGACAAUUAUUUUCAAAAUCAACCAUUUUAACUUCAACUGAAGGCCAUGCAUUGAAGUACAGGGUGACCCAUUGAUGUCUAUCAGUUAUGAAGUGAAUAUUUCAAUUUUAUGUACCUAUCAGUGAAACAAUUACCAGUGUUAGAAGAUAAUGUCCAUCAGUGUACCUUUUUUGAUAUUUUGAUAUAACCUAAAACUGCUUGGACGAAGACUAAUAAAUCAGAGCUAUAGUCAGACUGUCUCAAGGACUUCGAAUCAUUUUUCACUUUAUUAAAUAAUUAAGUAAUACAUGUAAAUACUGUAUAACUGGAAACACAAAAAUUGGACAUUAUUUUAAAAUUUUGAACUUUUUGAAAUUUAUUAAACUACUAUAUCUC